GAGGAGGUGGAGUCAAGCUCCACCCUUUCUGGGAGCACAGCUAAAUUACUCUCACCUGUGCUCCCACAGCUGAACUGACACUUGCCUCAGCUGAUUAAUCAGAGAUUCAGGCUGUGAUUACCAAUUUCCCAUACAGUAUAAAAAGCUUGAAAGCUUCAGAACAAAUCUGGAAAACAGUCUUCCCCAAGAGGUAGAAACACAUGAUGAUGGCAAUGCAUCUGGCCAAAAGUAUGGCUUUGUUCUUCACAGUGAUAAAUGUCUUUCUUGGUCUACUUUGGCAGAAUGCAAGGCAGCCCUGCUAUCUCAUCAAAAGCCCAAACCCACUGGUGGGCUUCACAAGCAAUCAAAGGGAAAGAGUACUGAAGAACCUGAAGGAAUGAGGUCAACACUUUAGUAAAACUUCAGGUUGUGGCUUUGAAGGAAAGGGCUGAAAUAAACCUAAUUGGGGCAAAUACCUUAUUUGUAUC
rnacentral:lncRNA from 1 species